UGAGGAACCAAUGUUCUUCUUGGCCC
rnacentral:piRNA from 1 species